UGUCAGUGUUUCUAUAUUAUUUAGGAUAAAGCCUACAAGUUGACUAUAAUUGGGAAUUGAGUUAAUUGGUCUUGUUUAGUUGGACUGGCCCAGAGAAGGGGCCAAUGCUUAAUAGUAGUCGGCGCCAUUGUUGUUUAUGCUCAUAUUUUCGGUUCCGUGUCCAAGCUGUUCAAGUGAAUGGGGAGUUUGAAUGGGCUUUUCAAAAACUGGCCUCUCUCACAUUCUGUGGUAAAUAAAUAUGUUCAGAACCCUGUACGUUUUAUUCUGUGUACAUUUACCUCCUUAAUAUCAUUGGAUCCUCUGAAUUUUGAGAUUUAAGGGUAGUUUUUAGAAAAAUGCUAACUUUAAGUUAAUGCUUAACUCACGUCACACUACAACAGCUGGUCAGAUCGCGUUUUGGAUUCUUCUUCUUCUUCACAGAUGAAGCAAUUAAACAGAGGAUCCAGUGACACGGAAGCCGUUCGAGGACUACAGAAUGAUACACAACCUCAGUGGUCUAUAAAGAAGAAGCUCCUAGAGCCAGUAUUCAGACAGGUGGCAAGAUGGCGCCACAAAACCAGUUUCCGGGUCACGGACGAGAGGAGGAGGAUCAGUAGAAAAAAGGAGCCAAGGCUGGUAGUCGUAUUGAGUGGAUCUUCCCUGAGUGAGCCGUGAAAAAGCUGUGAAAAGCUGUUGGGGUCCGACGCCCCCCUACACACCAACCCCCCCAUUCAUCAGACACCUGGUCAAGUUUGAAAACAUGAAAACAUGAGGCAAUUAAGCAGGACAGGCCCUCCUGCUCGCAUCUGGCAGCUUUAAGUCUGGGCCGGGCGCUAAUUAGGUACAACUGGG
rnacentral:lncRNA from 1 species